CUUUACACUGUGUUGGAAAAGAAUGAUAUGCUUAAAUGGCAACUACAAUAUUAUUUUCCCACAUGUUGGCUCUAAGUGUCUAAAACUACCGGUAUAUUUACAAUAAAGUCUAAUUAGCUAAACUAUUUUUGAGGGAAAAAAGGUCGAAGUUUCUCAUAUCUGAAACUAAUUCAAGAGUAUAAGGAGUACCUUGGCCAAUGUGGCUAAAUUGGUUGAGCGCUCUCCCAUGAACCAAGAGGUGGACAGUUCAAUUCCCAAUCAGGGCACAUGCCCAGGUUGCUGGCUUGAUCCCCAGUGUGAGGUGAGCAGGAGGUAGCCAAACAAGGAUUCUCUCUCAUCAUUGAUGUUUCUAUUUCUGUCUUCCUCUACCUUC